CCUAGGAAUCUGCCUGAUAGUGGGGGAUAACGUUCGGAAACGGACGCUAAUACCGCAUACGUCCUACGGGAGAAAGCAGGGGACCUUCGGGCCUUGCGCUAUCAGAUGAGCCUAGGUCGGAUUAGCUAGUUGGUGAGGUAAUGGCUCACCAAGGCUACGAUCCGUAACUGGUCUGAGAGGAUGAUCAGUCACACUGGAACUGAGACACGGUCCAGACUCCUACGGGAGGCAGCAGUGGGGAAUAUUGGACAAUGGGCGAAAGCCUGAUCCAGCCAUGCCGCGUGUGUGAAGAAGGUCUUCGGAUUGUAAAGCACUUUAAGUUGGGAGGAAGGGCAUUAACCUAAUACGUUGGUGUCUUGACGUUACCGACAGAAUAAGCACCGGCUAACUCUGUGCCAGCAGCCGCGGUAAUACAGAGGG
rnacentral:rRNA from 1 species